rnacentral:lncRNA from 1 species
AUAACAGCGGCACUGAUGAAGUAGGGAUCCACAUUUCCCAUGAACAGCAUCUUUGUAUACCUGUUGAGAGAGUCGCACCAAAUCAAUAGCGGUCUUCAUCUACUAUGGAGGAAAGCAGCUGCAGCAAUUGCACCAACUUGGAUAGGACCGAAAAUUCAUGACUUAAGAUCAAGAUCGGUAAAGAAAAAUUAAUCUCUAUAGCCAACCUUAAAAAAACAUCUUGCAAGCUGUCGAGCAAGUUAGCUUUCCUGCGGCUAGUCCAAAAUUAGAGGUAAGAUCACUAUAAUGCUAUAUAAAGUUACAGACUGAGUAGCUAAAUUGAUAUUCCGAAGAAGACAGAGGAAUGGACCAUACUGUUACACAUCUUCCUGAGUUUUUUGGUGGUUUUCUUAAUUUAGAGGAAUAUAUUAAAUGUCAAUCAACUGAGGAUAUUCCUUAUCGAUUAGAUCUUCAUACGCAAUGUAGCAACAAAAAUAAUGUGCUGAUUACAAAUACUAAAGAAUGCCU